GGCGGCAUGCCUUACACAUGCAAGUCGAACGGUAACAGGUUAAGCUGACGAGUGGCGAACGGGUGAGUAAUAUAUCGGAACGUGCCCAGUAGUGGGGGAUAGCCCGGCGAAAGCCGGAUUAAUACCGCAUACGACCUACGGGUGAAAGCGGGGGAUCGCAAGACCUCGCGCUAUUGGAGCGGCCGAUAUCAGAUUAGCUAGUUGGUGGGGUAAAAGCUCACCAAGGCGACGAUCUGUAGCUGGUCUGAGAGGACGACCAGCCACACUGGGACUGAGACACGGCCCAGACUCCUACGGGAGGCAGCAGUGGGGAAUUUUGGACAAUGGACGCAAGUCUGAUCCAGCCAUGCCGCGUGCGGGAAGAAGGCCUUCGGGUUGUAAACCGCUUUUGUCAGGGAAGAAAAGCUCCGAACUAAUAUUUUGGGGUGAUGACGGUACCUGAAGAAUAAGCACCGGCUAACUACGUGCCAGCAGCCGCGGUAAUACG
rnacentral:rRNA from 1 species